UACGAAGGGGGCGAGCGUUGUUCGGAUUUACUGGGCGUAAAGGGCGCGUAGGCGGCGCGAGAAGUCGAGUGUGAAAGCCCCGGGCUCAACCUGGGAAUUGCAUUCGAGACUGAAUAGCUAGGGUACGGUAGAGGGAAGCGGAAUUUCCGGUGUAGCGGUGAGAUGCGUAGAUAUCGGAAGGAACAUCAGUGGCGAAAGCGGCUUCCUGGACCAGUACCGACGUCAGGCACGAAAGCGUGGGGAGCAAACAGG
rnacentral:rRNA from 1 species